CCUAACACAUGCAAGUCGAACGGUAACAGGAAGAAGCUUGCUUCUUUGCUGACGAGUGGCGGACGGGUGAGUAAUGUCUGGGAAACUGCCUGAUGGAGGGGGAUAACUACUGGAAACGGUAGCUAAUACCGCAUAACGUCGCAAGACCAAAGAGGGGGACCUUCGGGCCUCUUGCCAUCGGAUGUGCCCAGAUGGGAUUAGCUAGUAGGUGGGGUAACGGCUCACCUAGGCGACGAUCCCUAGCUGGUCUGAGAGGAUGACCAGCCACACUGGAACUGAGACACGGUCCAGACUCCUACGGGAGGCAGCAGUGGGGAAUAUUGCACAAUGGGCGCAAGCCUGAUGCAGCCAUGCCGCGUGUAUGAAGAAGGCCUUCGGGUUGUAAAGUACUUUCAGCGGGGAGGAAGGGAGUAAAGUUAAUACCUUUGCUCAUUGACGUUACCCGCAGAAGAAGCACCGGCUAACUCCGUGC
rnacentral:rRNA from 1 species